ACCAGGACAGAACACAGGAGUCGAGAACUUGAGACCAGGACGGAACACAGGAGGCGAGAACUUGAGACCAAAGCAGAGCGCCGGAGCUAGUGACUGGAGACCAAGGCAGAGCGGCAGAGCCGACGAACCCUAGACUGCGGGCUGAGCUGGAACGGAGUCUCUGGUGGUGAACUGAGCUGGAACAGAGUUACUGGAUGUGGACUGAACAGGAGUUGAACCUUUACGGACCGGCAAGCAAGAGCAGACUGAGGAAGAGGAGCUGCAGGCAGAGGUCUUAGUCAGACUUGCUGAUGUGGACACACCUAUGGAAAGUGACUCGGUUGAAGAUUGCAUUCUUCAGAAUUGCAGAAAUGCAGCAGAGGGUUUAGGACAACUAAUCACUGUUCUCUGCCACAGUGGACCUGCCUGGUGUUCUGUGCGUAGGGGAGGAGGCACAGGCAGACGCUGCUUCACGAUAUGUGGAAGGAAUAACUGUAAGAGAGCAAAAGGAAAUCGAUCUUGGAGCCAUUCAAACUUAAGUUUCACAACCUUGACCACAUGCGGAGGUUUUGUGAGGAAAUAUUGGACAAACAAAUUAUUUGCCAUAUUGUGAAUGUCGUACUGCGUGAGUUUUUUGUGUGUGAGAGUAAAGCUGACUGCAUUAUAUUAAAUAAUUUUUUUAGGGGCAGCAGGGACAUUUAUCUGUAUUCUGUGUAGAAAUGUUAUUCCCCACAUAUUGUAAAUGGUCAAUGGCUUGUACUUGUAUAGCGCUUUACCUAGUCUGACGACCUCCAAAGCGCU